AGCAGCACCUGUCCUACCUCUCUGCUCUUGAAUCCAUGGCAGUGAGGCAUCUUACCUCAGAGCCCUAACCACCUUCUCCAUUCUGUGACAGGUGCCCAAAGAUCAUGCUGCUCCCACACCACCAACUGCUGAUGACAUCAUGUUACCUGAUGUUGUCACUGUCCAUGAUGCUAGUCUUCCUAGCAUUGCAUCAUAUCAGAACCAUGAUGAUGAAAAUAUUCCUGAUCUCAUAAAUAAAACACAGACUUUGUCAUCACCCAAGAGACUGUGACAACUAUCUCAGCAGAUUAAUUGUCUUAUGUUGGAGAAACAACAACAACAAGACACUCGAGAUCAGCUGGAAAAGGAGGAGAGAGAAUGCCAUCAAACCUUGGUAAAUGAAUAGGGGGACCUCAGGGAACAACUGAAGGUCCAUAUUCAAAGAAUAGGCCUCCCGAUUUCUGAGAAGGCAGAAUUACAGACAGCCUUGGCCCACACUCAGCAGGCAGUCUCGCAGGGAGCAGGAGAGUCUGAGGAUCUUGCCAACUGCCUACAGGCUUCUCAACAGCAUGUACGAGAGCUGGAGAAGACAUUGUCUGCUGUCUUUGUGAAGCAGAAGGAGGUGGAACGGUCCAACAAAGAGUUAACCAAAGACCGAGAUUCCCUCAAGCUGGAGUUAUACAAGAACAAG